rnacentral:lncRNA from 1 species
AAUCAGGCGCGAGGCAGAGAGGAGGGUGUGACGUUCCAGGAGCUAGUGGCCUCUUCACCCUGGUGACCUCUGUUCCGUAUUCUGUCACUGAGAGACGCCCUGGGACAUCUGUGGUGGCUUUUGUCGCGCUGGGACCUACCCUGACUACGGGAGUUGGGAGGACCCGGGACACCGCACAGCCGGGAAAUGGCCCUGUGUUAUGGAACUUUCUGGGGCUACCCUAAGAUGCUGGAAGCUGCCAAUCUCAUGGAGGGCCUAGUGGAUAUCGGCCCUUGGGUCACUCUUCCCAGAGGACAGCCUGAGGUGUUGGAGUGGGGCCUCCCAAAGGAUCAGGCUGGAGAACUUGGGACAGUGGAUAAGUCUGGUCUGUUCCUGUUAUCUGGACUUGGCAGAUUAAUGCAACAUUCUGUGGGACUUUGCAAUAGCUAAAGAACUUAAAUAUCCUUUGUUUACUAAAGGCUUCAUUAUUAUGGAAGUAGUAACUGAUGUUUAUUAUCUGAGAUGGAUAGAUACUUGUGCUUUUCUUGUUGAGCUAUAAAAUAGAAGUGACUUACAA